rnacentral:rRNA from 1 species
GUACACUCCUACGGGAGGCAGCAGUGGGGAAUAUUGAACAAUGGGCGCAAGCCUGAUCCAGCCAUGCCGCGUGAGUGAUGAAGGCCCUAGGGUUGUAAAGCUCUUUCACCGGUGAAGAUAAUGACGGUAACCGGAGAAGAAGCCCCGGCUAACUUCGUGCCAGCAGCCGCGGUAAUACGAAGGGGGCUAGCGUUGUUCGGAUUUACUGGGCGUAAAGCGCACGUAGGCGGACUAUUAAGUCAGGGGUGAAAUCCCGGGGCUCAACCCCGGAACUGCCUUUGAUACUGGUAGUCUUGAGUUCGAGAGAGGUGAGUGGAAUUCCGAGUGUAGAGGUGAAAUUCGUAGAUAUUCGGAGGAACACCAGUGGCGAAGGCGGCUCACUGGCUCGAUACUGACGCUGAGGUGCGAAAGCGUGGGGAGCAAACAGGAUUAGAAACCCUUGUAGUCCCAUGA